rnacentral:misc_RNA from 1 species
UCCGGUUUGUCACCGGCGGUCUCCUUAGAGUUCCCACCAUUACGUGCUGGCAACUAAGGACAAGGGUUGCGCUCGUUGCGGGACUUAACCCAACAUCUCACGACACGAGCUGACGACAGCCAUGCAGCACCUGUGUUCGAGUUCCCGAAGGCACCAAUCCAUCUCUGGAAAGUUCUCGACAUGUCAAGGCCAGGUAAGGUUCUUCGCGUUGCAUGGCUGUCGUC